rnacentral:rRNA from 1 species
UACGGAAGGCAGCAGUGGGGAAUAUUGCACAAUGGGCGAAAGCCUGAUGCAGCUAUGCCGCGUGUAUGAAGAAGGCCUUAGGGUUGUAAAGUACUUUCAUCGGGGAGGAAAAACAAAACUAAUAAUUUUAUUUCUUGACGUUACCCGAAAAAGAAGCACCGGCUAACUCCGUGCCAGCAGCCGCGGUAAUACGGAGGGUGCUAGCGUUAAUCAGAAUUACUGGGCGUAAAAGAGCACGUAGGUGGUUUUUUUAAGUCAGAUGUGAAAUCCCUGGGCUUAACCUAGGAACUGCAUUUUGAAAACUGAAAUACUAGAGUAUCGUAGAGGGAGGUAGAAUUCUAGGUGUAGCGGUGAAAUGCGUAGAUAUCUGGAGGAAUACCUGUGGCGAAAAGCGGCCUCCUAAACGAAUACUGACACUGAGGUGCGAAAAGCGUGGGGAGCAAAACAGGGAUUAGAUACC